rnacentral:misc_RNA from 1 species
CCUCCUUUCUAAGGAGAAAUUAUAUUUAAAAUUAUUUGUUUUUUUAAUGAUUUUAAAUUAGUGUACACAAGAUGCAUAAUGUCGUCGCCUACAAAUCCCUUCUUGCUUUUUUUAUUUUAGGUAAUUGAAAGCUAAUUGUUUCAUGCUUUGCCCUUUACUAUAUUAUACUCUUAUUCUAUUGUUGUGUAGGUUUGGGGGUGUAGCUCAGUUGGGAGAGCGCCUGCUUUGCAAGCAGGAGGUCAUCGGUUCGAUCCCGUUCACCUCCACCAAUUAUUAAAGCUACGGGCCGGUAGCUCAGUUGGUUAGAGCGCGCGCUUGAUAAGCGUGAGGUCGGAAGUUCAAGUCUUCCUCGGCCCACCAUUAAUAAUUCUUUUUAUUUACUUAAGCAAGAAGCUGUUGUUGUAAAUUGUAAAUAUGUAAAACCAACUAAAAAAAUUAAUUAAUUUUUUUUAAUUAAUUAUUUUAAUUCUAAAUUAUAAGAGAAUAUC